GUCUUAUUGAUAGAUAAUUUUAAGUCUUGCCUGCUCUAUGUAGUUAUAAAUGGCCGCGGUAAUUUGACUGUGCUAAGGUAGCAUAAUCAUUAGUUUUUUAAUUGAAAGCUGGAAUGAAGGGUUAUAUGAAAAAAUAUCUGUCUCUUUUAUAAAAUUAAAAUUUUAUUUUUAAGUUAAAAAGCUUAAAUAAAGUUAAAAGACGAGAAGACCCUAUAGAGUUUUAUAUAAUUUUAGUUUUAUUUUAUUAGUAAUUAAAAUAUAAAAUUUAAUUUAUAUUUGAUUGGGGUGAUUAGAAAAUAUAAAAAUCUUUUUUUUAAUAUUAACAUUUAUAUAUGAUUAUAUGAUUCAUUUUAAUGAUUAAAGAAUAAAUUACCUUAGGGAUAACAGCGUAAUUUUUUUUUAAAGUUCAAAUUAAAAAAAGAGAUUGCGACCUCGAUGUUGGAUUAAAAU
rnacentral:rRNA from 1 species